rnacentral:rRNA from 1 species
GACGUAGGGGGCGAGCGUUGUCCGGAUUUAUUGGGCGUAAAGAGCGCGUAGGCGGCCCGGAAAGUCGGAUGUGAAAACCCGGGGCUCAACCCCGGGCCUGCAUCCGAUACUCCCGGGCUGGAGGCAGGUAGGGGAGAUCGGAAUUCCGGGUGUAGUGGUGAAAUGCGUAGAGAUCCGGAGGAACACCAGUGGCGAAGGCGACACGCUGGGCCGUACCUGACGCUAAAGCGCGACAGCAUGGGGAGCAAACGGC